UACGUAGGGUGCAAGCGUUGUCCGGAAUUAUUGGGCGUAAAGAGCUCGUAGGCGGUUUGUCGCGUCCGCUGUGAAAGUCCAGGCUCAACCCUGGAAUGCCGGUGGAUACUGUCGGGCUCGAGUCCGGAAGAGGCGAGUGGAAUCCUGGUGUAGCGGUGAAAUGACGCAGAUAUCAGGAGGAACACCAAUGGCGAAGGCAGCUCGCUGGGACGGUACUGACGCUGAGACGCGAAAGCGUGGGGAGCAAACAGG
rnacentral:rRNA from 1 species